AAGGAAUAUUGGACAAUGGAGGCAACUCUGAUCCAGCCAUGCUGCGUGAAGGAAUAAGGCCCUAUGGGUUGUAAACUUCUUUUAGACGGGACAAAACCCCUUUACGUGUAAAGGGUUGAUGGUACUGUCAGAAUAAGCAUCGGCUAACUUCGUGCCAGCAGCCGCGGUAAUACGAAGGAUGCAAGCGUUAUCCGGAAUUAUUGGGUUUAAAGGGUGCGUAGGCGGACUAAUAAGUCAGUGGUGAAAGCCUGCAGCUUAACUGCAGAAUUGCCAUUGAUACUGUUAGUCUUGAGUACAGUUGAGGUAGGCGGAAUGUGUCAUGUAGCGGUGAAAUGCUUAGAUAUGACACAGAACACCGAUUGCGAAGGCAGCUUGCUAAGCUGUAACUGACGCUGAGGCACGAAAGCGUGGGGAGCAAACA
rnacentral:rRNA from 1 species